UGCGGCUACCAUGCAGUCGAGGGGUAACAGGGGAGAGCUUGCUCUUUCGCUGACGACCGGCGCACGGGUGCGUAACGCGUAUACAACCUACCUUUUGGAGGGGAAUAGCCCAGGGAAACUUGGAUUAAUGCCCCAUAGUAUGGGAAUAUCUCCUGAUAUUUUCAUUAAACAUUUAUGGCCAUUAGAUGGGUAUGCGUCCUAUUAGUUAGUUGGUAAGGUAACGGCUUACCAAGGCAGCGAUAGGUAGGGGUCCUGAGAGGGAGAUCCCCCACACUGGUACUGAGACACGGACCAGACUCCUACGGGAGGCAGCAGUGAGGAAUAUUGGACAAUGGGCGAGAGCCUGAUCCAGCCAUGCCGCGUGCAGGAAGACUGCCCUAUGGGUUGUAAACUGCUUUUACAGAGGAAGAACCACUCCCACGUGUGGGAGUUUGACGGUACUCUGCGAAUAAGGAUCGGCUAACUCCGUGCCAGCAGCCGCGGUAAUACGGAGGAUCCAAGCGUUAUCCGGAAUCAUUGGGUUUAAAGGGUCCGUAGGCGGGCAGUUAAGUCAGUGGUGAAAGUCUUCCGCUCAACGGGAGAACUGCCAUUGAUACUGAUUGUCUUGAGUUAUUAUGAAGUGGUUAGAAUGAGUAGUGUAGCGGUGAAAUGCAUAGAUAUUACUCAGAAUACCGAUUGCGAAGGCAGAUCACUAAUAAUAUACUGACGCUGAUGGACGAAAGCGUAGGUAGCGAACAGGAUUAGAUACCCUGGUAGUCUACGCCGUAAACGAUGGUUACUAGCUGUUCGGCCCGAUUAAGGGCUGAGUGGUUAAGCGAAAGUGAUAAGUAACCCACCUGGGGAGUACGUUCGCAAGAAUGAAACUCAAAGGAAUUGACGGGGGCCCGCACAAGCGGUGGAGCAUGUGGUUUAAUUCGAUGAUACGCGAGGAACCUUACCAGGGCUUAAAUGUAGUCUGACAGGAGUGGAAACACUUUUUUCUUCGGACAGAUUACAAGGUGCUGCAUGGUUGUCGUCAGCUCGUGCCGUGAGGUGUCAGGUUAAGUCCUAUAACGAGCGCAACCCCUGUGGUUAGUUGCCAGCGAGUAAUGUCGGGAACUCUAGCCAGACUGCCGGUGCAAACCGCGAGGAAGGUGGGGAUGACGUCAAAUCAUCACGGCCCUUACGUCCUGGGCCACACACGUGCUACAAUGGUAGGGACAGAGAGCAGCCACUUCGCGAGAAGGAGCGAAUCUACAAACCCUAUCACAGUUCGGAUCGCAGUCUGCAACUCGACUGCGUGAAGCUGGAAUCGCUAGUAAUCGCAUAUCAGCCAUGAUGCGGUGAAUACGUUCCCGGGCCUUGUACACACCGCCCGUCAAGCCAUGGAAGCCGGGGGUACCUGAAGUCGGUCACCGCAAGGAGCCGCCUAGU
rnacentral:rRNA from 1 species